AGGACGAACGCUGGCGGCGUGCUUAACACAUGCAAGUCGAGCGGUAAGGCCUUUCGGGGUACACGAGCGGCGAACGGGUGAGUAACACGUGGGUGAUCUGCCCUGCACUUCGGGAUAAGCCUGGGAAACUGGGUCUAAUACCGGAUAUGACCUCCUAUCGCAUGGUGGGUGGUGGAAAGAUUUAUCGGUGCAGGAUGGGCCCGCGGCCUAUCAGCUUGUUGGUGGGGUAAUGGCCUACCAAGGCGACGACGGGUAGCCGACCUGAGAGGGUGACCGGCCACACUGGGGACUGAGACGACCGGCCAGACCUCCGUACGGGAGGCAGCAGGUAGGGGAA
rnacentral:rRNA from 1 species